UUCUCCUUUUUUCUCCUCCUCCUCCUCCUCCCUCCCCCCUCCUCCUCCUCUUUCUUCUUCUUUUUCUAUUGUUACUGUUUUUAUCCUAUAUGGGCAGCAUCACUACCCAUUAGAUGUUUCCUGAUGGAUUUAUGAGUGUAAAAACUCGAUUGCAUAGUAUCCAGGCUAUAUCCAUGUUCGUAUUAUGAGCAGACAAAACCUAAGGUAACAAGGUAAUUUCAAUGUCCCUUUAUAAGACAGAAAAACAGUCUCAAAGUAAAUUCUCUUAGGAAAGUCCUCUUCAAAGCCAAGAGAAUGAAGAUGCUUUCUACUUUGCCUAAUGGCGUUUGCAGCUUUUGGAAGAGGGUGCUUUGCCAGUGUGAUUCAGAUGAUGCUUGGGCCUGGCCAGAACUUAUCCCAUGUCCUUCUCUCAGUGUAUCAUUGAUGUACCUGGACACUCUUAAAGCUAGAGCCAGGAGCAACCUUAGAGACCAGCUAGCCAUUUGUUCUGAUUUAAUUGGCUGUUGGUUUCUGCAUGAAGUGAUCAUUUUGGGGGGGGGGGAAAGUGCUGCCAGCUAAAAAAAAAUUAACAGACAAGCAAUUAAUUUAACUGAGUUGCUUCUGUGAAAAUCACAAUGCCAUCUGCAGCUUCUCCUUUGGAUGACGAUAACAUAUUUGUGCUGAAGUAGUUUUUUUUUUUUUUUUAACUCUUUCCAAAAAAUUAAAAAAAAAAAAAAGUAAUAAGAGCCUUUGCUUUGCAACAGUAGGCUGGAAACAGCGUUGAUUCACCCUGCCCCCUGCCCUCCCUAUGGGCUGCAGUAUAUUAUUAAACAAACAAAUCUUUAUUGAAAGCUAACUAUGCAUGCGGCCCUGUGCUGGAUGCUUUCAUGUGAUGCUUCAUUUAAUCCUCAUAGUAAUUAUGUGGAGUCUUGGGCAGGUCUUGAGUUGCUGGCCUUUGGAUAUGAUCUCACCCCCACUCUGUUCCGUUUUGUAUUGCAGGAGGGUGGCAGUCUCUGAUGGCUACUGGCUCCUGGCCAGGUCUGGACAUUUAAGGCCCCAGGGAAAUAAAGGGAACUGGUUAGAAGGAAGCCUUGUUGUUCAGCUCCCACCAUCUCCACUCCCUUUCCUUGGGUUGUGUUUUGUCUGUGGUUCUACCUCCCAUGGCCCUGGUAAGCUUGGUCUUAGCUUCCACUUGAUGGCUCCACCUCAAAUUCCAACAGCAUCUCCUCCUCCCUUGCUUUCUUCAGUUAAGGAUGGUGGUGCUUCCUGCCCUGAUUCAAUCCUGGAUAAGUCCAUUACCUGGUCAGGGAGAUAGUCACUAUAUCAGAAUAACCACUUCACUGCGUGCAUCUAUUAAAACUAUUUGAAGAGGUAGGAGAAAUGAAUUAGCAGUUAAGAAUACUUGCUGCUCUUAUAGAGGACCUGAGCUUCACUCUCAGCCUCCCCAUGGUACCUCACAAGUUCCUGUAACUGCAGUUCCAGAGCAUCUGACAUCCUCUUCUGCUCUCUGUGGCCCUGAGCGUAGGUAGGGUUCACAUAAACUCACGAAGGCUCAUAUAGUUACACAUAAAUGAAGGACCAAAAAAACCUCUAAAAACAUUUGAAGUAAUUUAUGUGUGCUUGUAUAGACCCCAUUGUUACACUGCCACAUAAUUAUAUCUAAUGUUUUAACAAAUGAGAAAAGUAUGAAUCAUACACACUAAAUAUUCUACCAUUGAGCCAAAUAUCACAAGUCUGCCAGUAUUCUAGUGAUCUGUACUUAGUCUACAACUGUAUUGUUGGCUGCUUAGUUCUCUAGUGUGGAAAAAAAAUCUUAUUCAUGGGUAAGAUGCCAUGAUGGAUUUGAACAGUUAGUUCAGCUAGUGUGACCUCUUCCUGCAGGGUGAAUCUGAAGAUCAACACGUAGCAUUUCUAGAAAAAGAACAACAAUGCCCUUGGGCACUAGGUCAUAAAGAUAUCUUCUUGUAUUACUGCUGUUCUAGUCACUGUCCACUGAUUUAAGACAUGCCCGUGGCUGGGUACUGCAUAAAGAAAAGGGGUUACUGGGCUCUCAGUCAUGGCUUCUGAAACACUGUGUGGUCCUAACUCUUCGGUCUCUGGUAAAGGCUUCAUCAUGGGUGCCUGAAAUGUAUGCAGGAGGGAAACAUCAUGUGGUAGGAGAUGAACUGGGAGAGCAAGAAGGGGCUCAGCUUGUUCCUUGACAAGAACCCACUCUAAAGGGAACAACUUGGGUCCCAUGAGACCAACUUUCUCCCUUUGAAGGUCACUCCUGGGACUUAGUCACCUCCUACUAGGUGUCACUUCUAAGAGUUUUACCACUUCCAAGGAUGGUCACACUGAGGGUCAAGCCUCCAAUAUGUGAAUCCUUUGAGGGGUCAAACCAUUAAAGAGUAGUUCUGUGAGAAAUCGUUCCUAGAUCUGUAGGAAUGACCAGCACAGACCUCUCACCCAGGACACACGAUGAACUUUUGUUUACUUGAAUAGAAAAUAGAAACCUUUAAUUUUCACCAAUAAGUCAUUCAUUCAGAUUGGUGACACGCUUAGGUUAUAGUUAAGUUCCAUAUAUGAUCAAAUACUUUACACAUUAUCAUAAUUUUAGGCUUCCUUGUAUAGGAAUAAAUCAGAGGGUAAAGUGUUUGUUGUUGUUUUGCUUGUUUGUUUUUCUGAAAAUACUGCUGAAAUUGUAGAUGACAUUAAUUUACUUGUAGAGUCUCCUCUUGUGGUGACGGUGGCAUUCUGAAGAAGAUAAAAAAAAAUCAAACAAGCAAUUCUCUGGCUUCUGAAUCCUCUUCUUUCAUAAUUUAGUAACAGUAGAAAGGACCAAGUAGAGAACAUUGAAGUCAAGAUUAAAGUGUGUAUUUGCGUGUACACUCACAAGCACACACACAUGCACAUUCUCAUGUAUGUUAGGGAAGGUACUUAGCCAUCAGAGUAGUGAGUGAGCUAGCCAUGAAUGUGAGAAAACAAUUAAAAUGAUAUUGGUUAAACUUCAAGGUGAGGAAGCCAGGUGUGAUGGUGCACGCCUUUAAUCUCAGCACUCAGGAGGCAGAGACAGAUGUGUCUCAAUGAGUCCGAGGCCAGCCUGGUCUACAGAGUGAGUUUCAGGAUUGCCAGGACUACAGAGAGAAACCUGGACUUUCAAAACCAAGGGGCGGGGAAUCUUUAGGAUGAGAUGAGAUAGAGGAUAUGAUUAUAAGGCUGUUAUAGAUUGCAUAUAGACGAUAUAGUGCAUUUGUGUCCUGAAAAUGACAGUACUAAGUAGGUCUCUUUGAACUUCAGACUCAGAGCACCCCAGGGAUGCUAUCAAGAGAGACAUCCCUGAAGCAGCAUUAGCCAAGCAAGGUGACAUCAUGGCAUGGAGGAAGAAGCUGCCAGUCAGACACUGGAGUCUAGAGGGGACUUCAUCCCACACCUCUGUUCUCAACCCUCUGUGUCUCCCCUAAAAGCCAUUCACUGUCCUCCGAACGUUGCUACCAUCCCAUGUCACGUCACUCUCCUUUGUGAAGAGGACAUUUAAGCCUCAAUUGUCUUAUACGUCUUGGAGUUUCACGUUUCCUGUGGCUCCCAUGUGCGCGACUGCACCCAUCAUAAUGUGCACUCGAUGGCUUGGCAGACAGAAUUAAUGAACUACAGAGAGGUCUCGACAAGUACAACUUUGUAGUAUGCUAUGCCAGUUAGAAGGAAAGUAACAAGGGAUUGAGCUGAGUGACUUAGGAGCAGGAACAGAAGCUUCUGCAUGCUUGAUAUGCCCUGGAGGUGGGGUCAUAACAUGUGGCUCUGAUUGGCGUAGCAGGUGAGAAAAGGAGAAAAAUUACAGAUAUAAUUUCUGAGGUUUGAAAUCCUUAAGACUUAAAUUUUUUUUUCUAGUAUUGAACCCAAAUAACCUCCGACCUGUUGUAAGAUUUAAACUUCUAGGGGAAACUACUUGAUGUGUUCACCUUUAAGGGUGAAGAGCCAACAGCUCAUUCCCACCCGACACCCAAAAGCAUGUAGCAGAGUCUUAGCCAUUAGUGCUGCUGGCCAUAUCCUUGAACCUGGGAAGUGACAAGGGACCUUGACACUGUGAGCGACUCUACACAGACAGAGAUACUUUGUACAUUUCUAGAGCAACCCUAGGUAAAGAUGCAGGGUAACUACCUUGAUUCAGAGAAGGAGGCAGAGAAGGGAUGGGGGUAACUGUCUACCUUAAUUCACCUGGGCUCACAGGUAAACCUUUCAGGGUGACUUUCCCAAUUGUGUCCCCAUACCCUCCCAAAGGGCAGACCACAUUCACCUGUCUGUGUUCCUUGCCUCCAUGAGGCCUCUCACCUGCAGGAACUGCUCCACCUGCUUUCUCUUCUAAUCUCCUCACCUUUUAGAGCUCCUGCUGCCUCAUGCUGUUUGACGACCCCCCCCCACCUUUAAAGUAUUAUAUCAUCCACCCUCCAUUCUGCCCAUUUCUUUCUUGACAGACACUCAGAGUAUAACCCAGACUAGCCUUAAAAUCCUGAUCCUUCUGCCUCAACCUUCCAGACUUCUAGGACCAUAAGCACAGGCUGUCAUCCCCAACUUUCAUAUUCUUUUCAUUUUCUCAUAUGUUUGAGUUGAGUACCCUAUAGUCUCUCCAGCCGAGUUAGUCUAUGUCAAACCUCUUGAGGCUGGUUAGCCUCCACAACACCUAUUACAAGGGAAAUGCUUGUGAAUUGUUGAUUUUCUGUGAAAGCUGUGCCAUUGGCUUCCUUUACCAUCUUCUGUACGUGGGUGGCUUUAUCCGUCCUUAUUCAGAGACUGGAUUGUCACCAAGCCUAUGUGAAUUGCUGAUUUUCUGUGAAAGCUGUGCCAUUGGCUUCCUUUACCAUCUUCUGUACAUGGGUGGCUUUAUCCGUCCUUAUUCAGAGACUGGAUUGUCACCAAGCCUAUGACCACGCAGUGCAGGUUCUGAAUAUGGCAACAUUACUUCUGGUUCAAAGAAUGCUAAGCUCAUAGAGAGUACCCCUGCCCUGCAGCAGUAACUGGGUGUGUGUGCGCAGGGCUUGGCCUUUUAGCUGAAUGGGCACAUUUGCUAAAAGUUACCCAGCAGCAGAGGUCCGUCCACCUUCAGCUUCUUGGAAGAGUGAUGCCAGAGGGCAGCUUGGGCGAGAGAUUUCCGGUGUGGCCUUUGGGUAAGGUGUUCUCUGUGUCCAGAGCUUUCCUAUCAGCGGCAGAGGGCAGCAGGUGGUGGGUCAGCAACUACUACUUGCUGUCCCCAAAUGUCAUGGCAACCUCAGUCAUGACUUUUCAACAUUAAAUGUUGAUGUCGAUAAUGUAAAUGUCAACACACACACACACACACACACACACACACACACGCACACACACACACACGGAUAGGCCAAGUUGGGUGUUCUGUCUUUCACAGUUAUCUACAGGCUUUCUUAUCACAGUCUACACGCUUAGUUCAGGGAUGAGGCAAUGCAACAGUCCCCCCACCCUGUGCUGGCACCACUGCGGCACAGCCUCUGAAGCAAAGACAGUUCAGGCUCGGAGCCCAGUGCUGCCUAAGUCUGUUACACUGCCUGCCACAUUCAUCCAAGCCCUGGGCUUGGUAGAGGCUCUGCAAAGACUAUUUGUUAUGUGUAAUAAAGCUAGAGGUUGGAGGGAAGGCCUUGUGCAUGCUCACCAUGCUCUUUCCCGCUGAGCUACACACCCAGCCCCUUUGCGACGUUUCAGCUGGCAAGGAACCACUGUUAGCAGAUGUGAACAUCUAAAGAACAUAGCCAAUGGCUCCCCAGCCGAGAGAGAACCAGGAUGCUGGAGAGGAACCCUCAUGGUUAAUUGUGUAGAGCUCUCACUAAUGGCGCGGAUCCCUCAGCCAUCGAAACUCCUUAAGCUGAAGGAAUGGAGAGAUGCAAAGGGAAGCAGACCACAGGCUUUUCUUAUGGAUGCUGGUUGUGAGUGAAGAGAGGGGCAUUCCUGAGGGAGGAGGCAUCCCUGCCAAGGGAAAACAGAUAUGGGUGACUCACUCUGCUAUUGGUUGUACUGGCUUCAGUUGUCUUGGCUGGGUUGACACCAGCUGCACGAGAUUGACAUUAGUACCAUAGUCAAGCCAGGGACCAGGAGACUUUGGGUACGGUGAGGAUUGUCUUCUAUUCAGAGCGCUAGCUACCAGAGCAAACCAACCCUCUUUUGCAUCCAACCAGGCUCAUCUGACUGGGAGAGUUCAUCUGAGAGGUGCUGUAUCUUGGCCUGGAUCAUGGAGACCAUCAGAGGCUAGACAGGACUAGGUCAUGAGGCUCUCAGGUGAUAGAGAGACAGGACUAGGUCAUGAGGCUCUCAGGUGAUGCUUUCUCCACAGACUGUGCAGGCUAGAGACACCCAAGCAGAGCUUCUGGAUGGGAUGAGAGUAGGGUCAAGUCCACCCUUGGGAUGCUUGAUUCUUCAAAGGUCCACCAGGCGUUCAGUACCUGAGUGAUCUGACACAGCCGCGUGUCAUUACCUACUAAGGAUAACUCUAGCUGAAGUCAGAGAAAUAGUUCAACGAUUCGGUCAUCCUGCCAGCGCUGGUCUUUAUCGACAUUCGAGAAAGAACAACAUGAUGCGUACAUGAGAUUUAACUGGGGAUCUCGUCCCAUGCAAGCAACACUGUGCCCUUCCAACAAGAAACAGUGCAUAAUUAAAGCUAUAAUCAUCUUGAAAAUAAUUUGAGAAGGUGAUAAACAACAUGAGUUCGCAGAACACUUUACUCAUACAAAGAGUGAACAAUCCUACCCCAUUUGAGCUUCACAGCUAGGGCUGCAUAUUACCCCAGGCAGGACCGAUGACCGGAUUUGUUGACAAAAGUCAGGUUACUGUAGUAGCCUCACACCUUUCCAAGAUCACAGCAUAGUAACUCCCGUCAGAACUGGAACUAGAAGCCUAGCCCUUGAUCUUAACAGGGCUCCACAUCAUUUUGAUGAAGUCCUGAAAAUCUGAACGUCCAUCAACAUCUUUCCUCUCUAACUUAUUUAUUUAGAGUCAGUUCCGCCUGUACUGGGUUGUUUCGAUAACAAGAUCUACCCUGAGAUGUUAGGCGGCUCUUUCUCCUCCUGUCUAGGGAGGACAUUCACGUGUUUUGCUGCAUGAAUCUUCCUGUGUUCAAUGCCAAGAUGGUCCUCAGACCAUGCCUUGGUUAUGUGAGCCACACUGUCUUGUGAAUUGCAAGGCACCUCAGCACAAAAGCAUUUUAGGUAAUGACUGUAACUGUAAAGCAGGCUGCUCGUGCCAUCCAACAGAAGGAAGAUGCUUAUGCCAAUCAGAUACUCUUGUUAGCACCACCAUAGGUGCCAUGGUAUGUAAUUCUGGACCAAUUAGAGCAUCAUGAAAUGCACUGAAUACUGACCCAGCAGUUGUGAGAGUUAAAUGAGAUAAUUCAGAUAAAACGUUUGGCAGUGUUUGGUUCACAGAACACAGCCCCUAGCUAGAGGACGAGCCAUCUUCUUUUUAAAUAAACAUCACAUCCCCAUAUUGCAGAUUCGAAAAUGGCAGCAGACAGAAAGGUUAAGUAAUUUACCCAAGGUCACACAGCUAGUGUGUGUUACCACCAGGCCUGGACACCUGACUGUCUCUCACCCACUCCCAUGAGCAUAUGCCUAGCCAGCAGGGUAGCCAGUGGGGUGGAGAGAGUUCUUGGAUCUUCCGGGGGACUCUAGAAAUCUUUCCAGAUCACCAUUAUGAGAAUUAAUUACUGAUUCACUGGGCUGUAGCAGGUGGAAGUACUAUUUAAUAGCCUGCUGGUUAAGCCAGGUUUUGGAGAGAGAGAGAGAGAGAGAGGGUGAGA